rnacentral:rRNA from 1 species
AGUGAACGCUGGCGGUAGGCCUAACACAUGCAAGUCGAACGGCAGCACAGUAAGAGCUUGCUCUUACGGGUGGCGAGUGGCGGACGGGUGAGGAAUACAUCGGAAUCUACUUUUUCGUGGGGGAUAACGUAGGGAAACUUACGCUAAUACCGCAUACGACCUACGGGCGAAAGCAGGGGAUCUUCUGACCUUGCGCGAUUGAAUGAGCCGAUGUCGGAUUAGCUAGUUGGCGGGGUAAAGGCCCACCAAGGCGACGAUCCGUAGCUGGUCUGAGAGGAUGAUCAGCCACACUAGAACUGAGACACGGUCCAUGCUCCUACGGGAGGCAGCAGUGGGGAAUAUUGGACAAUGGGCGCAAGCCUGAUCCAGCCAUACCGCGUGGGUGAAGAAGACCUUCGGGUUGUAAAGCCCUUUUGUUGGGAAAGAAAAGCAGCAAGUUAAUACCCCGCUGUUCUGACGGUACCCAAAGAAUAAGCACCGGCUAACUUCGUG